rnacentral:rRNA from 1 species
UAAUACGGAGGAUGCGAGCGUUAUCCGGAUUUAUUGGGUUUAAAGGGUGCGUAGGCUGUUAUAUAAGUCAGUGGUGAAAUAUUCGGGCUCAACCGGGAUACUGCCAUUGAUACUGUAUAGCUGGAAUAUGGUUGCUGUGGGUGGAAUGUGUGGUGUAGCGGUGAAAUGCAUAGAUAUCACACAGAAUAUCGAUUGCGAAGGCAACUCACAAAGCCAUUAUUGACGCUGAUGCACGAAAGUGUGGGGAUCAAACAGGAUUAGAUACCCUGGUAGUCCACACUGUAAACGAUGAUAACUAGCUGUCGGCGAUAGAUAGUCGGUGGCUAAGCGAAAGCGAUAAGUUAUCCACCUGGGGAGUACGACCGCAAGGUUGAAACUCAAAGGAAUUGACGGGGGCCCGCACAAGCGGAGGAACAUGUGGUUUAAUUCGAUGAUACGCGAGGAACCUUACCCGGGCUCGAACGGUGCAGGAAUAUGGUAGAGAUAUCAUAGCUAGCAAUAGUCUGUAUCGAGGUGCUGCAUGGUUGUCGUCAGCUCGUGCCGUGAGGUGUCGGCUUAAGUGCCAUAACGAGCGCAACCCUUGUCGUUAGUUACCAUCAAGUAAAGUUGGGGACUCUAGCGAGACUGCCACCGUAAGGUGUGAGGAAGGGGGGGAUGACGUCAAAUCAACACGGCCCUUACGUCCGGGGCGACACACGUGUUACAAUGGUAGGUACAGAGGGGCGCUAUCCAGUGAUGGAGUGCGAAUCUCAAAAACCUAUCUCAGUUCGGAUUGGAGUCUGCAACUCGACUCCACGAAGUUGGAUUCGCUAGUAAUCGCGCAUCAGCCAUGGCGCGGUGAAUACGUUCCCGGGNCCUUGUACACACCGCCCGUCAAGCCAUGGAAGCNGGGGGUGCCUG